rnacentral:rRNA from 1 species
AGAUUGAACGCUGGCGGCAGGCCUAACACAUGCAAGUCGAGCGGUAGAGAGGUGCUUGCACCUCUUGAGAGCGGCGGACGGGUGAGUAAUGCCUAGGAAUCUGCCUAGUGGUGGGGGAUAACGUUCGGAAACGGACGCUAAUACCGCGUACGUCCUACGGGAGAAAGCGGGGGACCUUCGGGCCUCGCGUCCAUUAGAUGAGCCUAGGUCGAUUAGCUAGUUGGUGAGGUAAUGGCUCACCGAAGGCGACGAUCCGUAACUGGUCUGAGAGGAUGAUCAGUCACACUGGAACUGAGACACGGUCCAGACUCCGUACGGGAGCAGCAGUGGGAAUAGUGGA